CCCUUAGAUGUUCUGGGCCGCACGCGCGCUACAAUGGCAAACUCAGCGAGUCUCCUUUACCGACAGGUAUAGGAAAUCUUUUCAGUGUUUGCCGUGAUGGGGCUAGACCCUUGUAAUUAUUGGUCUUCAACGAGGAAUUCCUAGUAGACGUAGUUCAUCAGACUGCAUCGAUUACGUCCCCGCCCUUUGUACACACCGCCCGUCGCUCCUACCGAUUGAAUGCUCAGGUGAGCCAUUCGGACUUUCAUCAUGCUGGUUUCCAGUUUUGAUGAAGGAAAGUCUUGCGAACCGUAUCAUUUAGAGGAAGGAGAAGUCGUAACA
rnacentral:rRNA from 1 species